rnacentral:tRNA from 1 species
AGGUAGAAUGGCCGAGUAUUAGGUGGCAGGCUGUAGUCCUGCUUACAUGGGUUUAAGUCCUGUUUCUCCC